rnacentral:hammerhead_ribozyme from 1 species
AUCUAACUGAAGAGACCUAUAUAGGACGAAAAGCACUUCUUAGAU